AACGAACGCUGGCGGCGUGCUUAACACAUGCAAGUCGUGCGGGAAAAGGGGGCAACUCCCUGAGUAGAGCGGCGCACGGGUGAGUAACACGUGGGUAACCUACCCUGAAGUUCGGGAUAACCUGUCGAAAGACGGGCUAAUACCGGAUAAGACCACGGGAGCUGCGGCUCCCGCGGUAAAAGGUGCCUCUGCUUGCAAGCUAUCACUUGAGGAUGGGCCUGCGUGCCAUUAGCUAGUUGGUGAGGUAACGGCUCACCAAGGCAGAGAUGGCUAGCUGGUCUGAGAGGAUGACCAGCCACACUGGGACUGAGACACGGCCCAGACUCCUACGGGAGGCAG
rnacentral:rRNA from 1 species